rnacentral:misc_RNA from 1 species
AACUUUUAGCAAUGGAUCUCUUGGUUCUGGCAUCGAUGAAGAACCCAGCGAAAUGCGAUAAGUAAUGCGAAUUGCAGAAUUCAGUGAGUCAUCGAAUCUUUGAACGCACAUUGCGCCCUGUGGUAUUCCGCAGGGCAUGCCUGUUCGAGCGUCAUUUCAACCCUCAAGCUCUGCUUGGUGUUGGGCCACGCCCCCGCGGCCGGCCCCAAAGCCAGUGGCGGUACCGCCCGGCUCUAAGCGUAGUACACCUCUCGCUCUAGAGCCCGGCGGUUCCCUGCCAGAACCUACACUCUUAUGGUUGACCUCGGAUCAGGUAGGGAUACCCGCUGAACUUAAGCAUAUCAAUAAGCGGAGGCU